CGCCGCCCAGGUGCUUGAAAUCCCGGGGCCUUGCCCCCACAAUGCGGACAUGGUUGUAAUUCCGGCGAACUGGAGGCGUUCUGGACAGGGGUUCGAUUCCCCUCACCUCCACCCAAGCGUAUUCGGGAGUGCGUUUCGGUGGGGGUGUACCGGUUUCGACAGGGCGGGCAAAGGUAAGCAGGCAACCCGAGAGGCGACGGACGUAAUCCGCGCAAAUCCUUAAACGCCAACGAUGAGCGUUUCGCAAUCGCUGCAUAAGCUGAUUGCCGGGGCCGCUGAAGCCUUGUAACCCAAGACAGCCGGUGGGGACUUCGGUCCCCAUCGUCA
rnacentral:tmRNA from 1 species